GAUCCGAUCCGAUCCGAUCCGAUCCGAUCCGAUCCGAUCCGAUCCGAUCCGAUCCGAUCCGAUCCGAUCCGAUCCGAUCCGAUCCGAUCCGAUCCCUUUCUGCGGGAGGUGGGCAGCGGUGUCCCCUCGCCGUGUCUGCUGUGUGCGCAAUGAGUGAGUGGGGAGGAAAAAGGGAAUUGCCUGUACUGUAGCUUAGGGUAAUUUGAGGAGGUUUGGCAUCGCCUCAGCCAUUUUGUUGUUUAGGAAGCGGGAGCAGCUUCCCCCAUCCCUGUUGCCAUGUAUCUUUUUCCCAGGUGCUGACUUUUCCCCUGAGGAGAUGCUGCCCUAUUUGGGAUCCCCAGAGACUGGGUGUACAAGACGGACUGCCGUGAUUAUUUUUGGGUUCAACGCAGAUUUCCUUGAGCAAUGGAGCAAGCGUGCCAAGAGACACAGUUCCUGCGCUCUGCUCGCCCUGGGCCCUGCCAGGAGCCUGCACCGCUGAGGGGACACCGAGGGAGCCCGGUGAAAUGCCCCAUCACCAGCCGAGCUGCGGCUGGCCCCUGCACCAGCCGUGCGGGGAGCAGCACUGACAGGAGCACGGCGAGAUGCUCCACACUGAGGCUGCUGGAGCCUGGGAGUAAACAAGUUAUCCAGCUCCCCCUGGCCCUCCGUUCCCUGAGCAGAUCCAGAAUUUGGGCUGCGGGUGACAAAAUGCUCCAAAGCCUUUUUGGAAACCUGGGCCAGUYUGUGAGGGAGAGUAAGGUUUGUUCCCACCAACAAGUGGCUGCAGAGGCCCCAUCUCUCCGGUAA
rnacentral:lncRNA from 1 species